GUCCACGCUGUAAACGGUGAGUGCUCGUCGUCGUGGGUAUUGACCCCUGCGGUGACCAAGUUAACACAUGAAGCACUCCGCCUGGGAAGUACGGUCGCAAGACUAAAACUCAAAGAAAUUGACGGGGGCCCGCACAAGCGGUGGAGCAUGUUGUUUAAUUCGAAGCAACGCGCAGAACCUUACCUGGAUUUGACAUCUCCGGAAUCUCCCUGAAAGGGGAGAGUGCCUUCGGGAACCGGAAGACAGGUGCUGCAUGGCUGUCGU
rnacentral:rRNA from 1 species